UACAGAGGGUGCAAGCGUUAAUCGGAAUUACUGGGCGUAAAGCGUGCGUAGUCGGCUUUUCAAGUCGGGUGUGAAAGCCCCGGGCUCAACCUGGGAAUUGCAUUCGAUACUGGAUCGCUAGAGUUCGGCAGAGGGAAGCGGAAUUUCGGGUGUAGCGGUGAAAUGCGUAGAUAUCCGAAGGAACAUCAGUGGCGAAAGCGGCUUCCUGGACCAGAACUGACGAUCAGGCACGAAAGCGUGGGGAGCAAAC
rnacentral:rRNA from 1 species